UACAGAGGGGCAAGCGUUAUUCGGAAUUAUUGGGCGUAAAGGGCGCGUAGGCGGCUUGGCAAGUGGAUGGUGAAAUCCCUCGGCUUAACCGAGGAACGGCCGUCCAAACUGCUUCGCUUGAGACCGGGAGAGGUGAGUGGAAUUCCCAGUGUAGCGGUGAAAUGCGUAGAUAUUGGGAGGAACACCAGUGGCGAAGGCGGCUCACUGGACCGGUACUGACGCUGAAGCGCGAAAGCGUGGGGAGCAAACGGGG
rnacentral:rRNA from 1 species